GUCUGUUUCCACCAGUCUUGUAUCAUCCAGGUCAAAAAUACCCCUCCUGGGAGGCCAGCAUCCAGGGAGGACAGUGACCAGGGAGGGCAGCGUCUACCUCUCUUGGAUUCUACAGGACCUGCUGGCUACCCAGGAAGCCAGAUUCCAUUGCUGGAAAGAAAGGAAAAGAAACUAUGGAGUCGUCACAUCAUCACGCCAGGAAGUCACACAAGAGAAAUGUGUGAGGCUCCUCAGCCACACUCAGAACAUGGCCAUCUCUUGUCUCCACUCCAGACAAAUCCUGGGAGCACAGCCCCUCCGGGCCACCAGCGGCUGUCACUGACAUCCCUGGAGUUCGUGCUGUGGUCACAGAGAUCAUUGAUCACACAUUCUGUUCAUACCUCUCUGCUCUUGUGUGAAUACCGUGGACUUCACUGAUGAAAUACAAGAUGGAAGAUUAAAUUAUUAAGGAGUCCACAGUGGCAACAGCAGAACAUUACAAGAGCAUUCGCAGGUCUCACAUGAAGCUGCCUCUACCUGCAACUGACACAUUUAUCUGAGUCUUUACAAUGGCUGGAAAGUGGGUAAAGUUCCAUUCGUCCCUGAGUCCCGACAGCCCAGCAUGUUAAUUAAGCUUCCACCCAUAUUCAGAUAUAACACUUGAGGCUCCAGCAGGACAAACAUCCCUCUCAGAAGCACAGCACUUGUCACUCAAGCACAUGUCCCACCCAAGUGCAGAUGCCAACAGCCUAGCCAGAGACCGCGGCCUAUCCUCUAACUACCUUCAGCUGCACAGCAUAGGUCAUGAGGAGACUCUGAGCCCUCUUGCCCUCUGGCGCCUGGAGAGAUAUCACUCACCUGGUUCAUCCGGUCAAAGGAGAAGCCCUUUUAUUCCCGAGCACCACCCAGCCUCUGC